rnacentral:snoRNA from 1 species
UGGCCAGUGAUGAACUGUGAGUUGUACUGAUACUCUGAGUUAAAUGAAGUGCAUUUGACACAUGCGCGUCUUUGAGGCCU